rnacentral:rRNA from 1 species
GGCGGACGGGUGAGUAACGCGUAAGGAACUUGCCUCUUGGUCUGGGACAACUGUUGGAAACGACAGCUAAUACCGGAUAUUAUGAGAUUCUCGCAUGGGAAACUUAUGAAAGCUAUAUGCGCCAAGAGAGAGCCUUGCGUUCCAUUAGCUAGUUGGUGGGGUAAUGGCCCACCAAGGCGACGAUGGAUAGCCGGCCUGAGAGGGUGAACGGCCACAAGGGGACUGAGACACGGCCCUUACUCCUACGGGAGGCAGCAGUGGGGAAUAUUGGACAAUGGGCCACAAGCCUGAUCCAGCAAUUCUGUGUGCACGAUGAAGGUCUUCGGAUUGUAAAGUGCUUUCAGUUGGGAAGAAGAAAGUGACGGUACCAACAGAAGAAGCGACGGCUAAAUACGUGCCAGCAGCCGCGGUAAUACGUAUGUCGCAAGCGUUAUCCGGAUUUAUUGGGCGUAAAGCGCGUCUAGGCGGAAAAAUAAGUCUGAUGUUAAAAUGCGGGGCUCAACUCCGUAUUGCGUUGGAAACUGUUUUUCUAGAGUACUGGAGAGGUGGGCGGAACUACAAGUGUAGAGGUGAAAUUCGUAGAUAUUUGUAGGAAUGCCGAUGGAGAAGUCAGCUCACUGGACAGAUACUGACGCUGAAGCGCGAAAGCGUGGGGAGCAAAC